rfam:Anopheles gambiae M scf_1925489235 genomic scaffold, whole genome shotgun sequence.
UUCUCUUUGUCUGUCGGGUACACCUACUCAAUACGUAGGUAAUCCGUACGUAAUCCCCGUCGUACAGAACGAUAACAUGUCUCUCAAUUAACCUAGCUUGGGUAUACGGGGAAAUCCAACACCUUGGGCGGAUGGGUUGCAUGUAGUGUAGA